rnacentral:rRNA from 1 species
UUCGAGUGGCGACGGGUGAGUAACGCGUGGGUAACCUGCCUUACACAGGGGGAUAACACCUGGAAACAGGUGCUAAUACCGCAUAAGCGCACAGGGCCGGCAUGGCCCGGUGUGAAAAACUCCGGUGGUGUAAGAUGGACCCGCGUCUGAUUAGCUUGUUGGCGGGGUAGAGGCCCACCAAGGCGACGAUCAGUAGCCGGCCUGAGAGGGUGGACGGCCACAUUGGGACUGAGACACGGCCCAAACUCCUACGGAAGGCAGCAG